CGUGUAUACCACAUUGAAACACCAGUUCUCAUACAAUCAUCGAAGUUAAGCAAGAUUGAGCCUAGUCAGUACCUACAGGGGUGACCAGCUUAGGAAUAUCAGGUGCUGUAAGC